UUUUUUUUUUUGUUCUCUUUUUCUUUAAUAUUUUCUGAAUAAAAUAAAUUUAUUUUUAAUGAUUUAACUGAAAAAUUGAUGAAAGUUUGAUGAUUUAGAUGAUAGGAGGAAAUUGAGAAAAAAAAGAAUAUGAGGUAAAUUAAAAGUUAGGUACAAGUCGAAGUAGCAAAUUACAAGUUAAGCCCAAAUUAUAAUGAUAGUUGGUAAAUUCUGAAGAAAAAGUAUGGCCACUUGCUUAAGCUUUUCGGAGAAGCUUUCAAGAAUAAACUCGACGUUGACGAAGACGUAGUCUUUUCUUCAUUUUGUAGACUUGGUGGAAGUUUCGUCGCCGUGGGGCCAUUUGAUUGGAGGAGGGAUAGCAAUUCAUUUCCAUGUAUAUAAGAAAGAUAUCAACCAUCCUGGUUUUCAUUCUCCUCUACUGUGUAUGUUAACAGAUCGGAAAAAGCCAUAAGAAGAAGAUGAGCAAUCAGUAAGUAAAGUUCAAUGUUCUUCUGUCUUUCUUUCUCAAUGUUUUUUUUUUUUUUUUUCAUUAUUUUAUAUUAAAAAUUUAACAAAGUUAGUUGCUAAAUUAACACCAUCUUACUCUGUUUUUUUGGUUUGAUUUUUUUAUGACAGAUUUAGCAGCGGCCUAGAAUUGGCAAAUGUGCUGUUGACCUCCGAACCCCUACACCAGUCAUGGGAUGCAAUUCAGAAUGAUAAGCAGAAGGUCAAUCCAAAUGCACAACCAACCUUACACAUUAAUACAACCCAAGCAAAUCUUACCAUUAUAACUUUUCUUACUUCACCCAUGUCUUUGAGAGGACAAGAAGGCUUGAUUUUGUCAUCAACUCUUGAGGAAAGAAAUCUCCCUGACUUUGAAUUUUUGUGCAACAAAAGCAACCCAAGUUUCUCCAUCAAUGAAGCUGCAAUCAAGCUCUUUGCCUCUCGUUUUGAUGAGCUCCGUCGGCUGAAAACUGAGGUUUGUACCUUCUCUCUCUCUCUCUCUCUCUCUCUCUCUCUCUCUCUCUCUCUCUCUCUUUUCUUUUGUUUUUUGUCUUUCCUUAAACUCAUCAUUUAAAGUAAUGGACUUUUUCGUUAUCAUAAUUAAUUUGACAAACUAUAUUGCGAUUGAGUACGUGACUAGUAUGUAUAUAUGUAACUUUUGAUAACGUUUGUGGCACAGAUUAGCAGAUCAAAUUCAUUAGUAAUUAUCACUGGACAUUCUAUGGGAGGCUGUGUGGCUACGCUCUUCACCUUAUGGCUGCUAGAAAGCCUCAACUUAUCAAAAGCCAAACGCCCCCUUUGCAUUACUUUCGGUUCACCCCUUAUUGGUGACGAACACCUCCGAAAAUGUGUUUCACAAUUCCCAACAUGGACUUCUUGCUUCUUGCAUGUAGCCUCUAUCCAAGAUCCUGUACCUAAACUCUUCCUAUCCCCAAAUCCAACUGCUCUUGGAACCGGUACUCAAGUUAGUGCUUAUAAGCCUUUUGGAACAUUCCUGUUGUGCUCUGAUUCUGGUUGUGCUUGCUUUGAGGACCCAGAUUCGAUUUUGGUGUUGGUGGCAGCCAACUCUCAGGGUGAUCAGACCCAAUAUCCUAAUGUGGGGAUUCAGUUUUUUGAUUAUGGACAGCUAUUGGAACGUCUCAAGCUCAAGGCGUUUUGUAAAGAUGUCUUUGAGUUGGCUGAAAGCGAUAGAAUUCCACUUAAAGCUAGCAUUAUCACACAACUGGCAGCAAUAUUUGGAGUUCCCAAAUCACAGGUAGCAAAGUUUCAAUGCAAAUAUGUGAUUUGAUAAUGUUUUAUGUUUUCAGCCUAUAAGCCUACAAUACAUACAUUAUUUGCAAAAAAAUGUUAGCAAUAUUCUCCGUUGUUAAAUUUUACUUCUACUAAUUCCUUCUCUGCUCCUUUGUAAAAGGCAUUGCAACAGCAACGACCCAACAUAAAUAUUCUGAUAAUGAAGAUGGAAACACGUGAAUAUAAAUUAGCAAUACAGAAGACGAAGACUUCCAAUGCCGCCAAGAAAUUGAAUGAUAUAAAAGUGUCCAUGGUCUACCUUGAGUGGUACAAGAAGGACUCAAAAGGUAGGGAAAUUGGAUACUAUGACAUGUACAAAAACAAGUGGAACAGGAGUGACAUCAACGUCGAAGAGUUCAAGAAGAAGCUGUCGAAUUACUGGCAGGACUCGGUCGAAGAAGUAGAGAAUAAGCCCCAGAAAGAAGGAACUGCCUUCCGAACUCGUUGGCUUAUGGGAGGUACAACCUACAGAAGGAUGAUGGAACCACUUCACAUUGCAGAGUACUACAAGGACAAGGAUGGGAAGAACUACAGAGAGGAAAGGCUUAAGCAUUUCAUUCUGUUGGAGAAAUGGCUCAAGGAAGAGGAGGAAAGGAAGGUAGCAGAGAGAAUUAGAAGAGGGGAGACAGUCGAAGAAGGUCCAAGCAAGUCAAAAGCACUGAACGUGGCUUCUAGUUUGACUGAUGAUUCUUGUUUUUGGGCACAUGUUGAGGAGGCUCUUAUCUUAUGCAAUCAGCUGGAGAACGGACAACCAAGUUUAAGGGAACAAUGCAAGCAAAAGUUGAUAGAGUUUGAGGAGUAUGUGUUGGAUGCCCUCAAGAAUUUUGCGGUAACCCCUGAUAUUUUCUUGAAGUAUAGCAGCUUUAUGGCAUGGUGGAAGCAGUAUAAUAAAAUUGUGGGAAGCUCAACAACACAACUGGCUCGUAUCAUGACGGAUGGCACGUACCGCGAUUAUGAGAAAGGGGUGAAGGUGGUUUUCUGAUCUCUGUAAUCCAAUGAAUAAGUUUUAUAUGCCAACCGGAUGGGGCAUGUUGAAAUUUGUGUGUCCUGUUGGUGUGCUUCAAUUUGUAUUUUCUUUCUCCUUUUCUAGUAGGCUUUGGUGGUUGAAUAAACCUGUGUUGGUGGCCUUAUUGCUUUGUAAGGGUAUUGCAAAUUGGAUUUUGCUGCCAAUCUUGGAAUUUGCAGAACUUUGUGGCUUGUUUUAAGUUGUAUUAAUCUUGCAGAUGAAUUUACAAAAUAAAAGCUUGUAAACUAGUAAAGAAGUUGUAGCGGUAAGUUGUGUUGUGUACAUGUCCGGAGUAUGGAUGAGCCGUGGUCAAUUAACUUGGAUGUUGUCAUGGAUACCAAAAUUUAGCAGAAUACAUAUAUGUAUUAUAUAUGGGAACAAACCCAGCAUAGAUGGGACCACCAUGCAUAUGCAUGAUGCAUAUCUCUGAAUCAACCGCUGCCAAUUAAUCUCUGUAAUUUGACCAACCUAUUUUUGUUUUGAUUCAAACAUUUUUCUCUCUUUCGAUCCUCGGUUGGCCUUUUGGGUUUUCUGCUCAAAGGCAAAGGCCAUUAUUAUGUCACACUGUCUUUUUCACACCUACAUACUUUAUGAUUUUACUCAAUGAAAAGAUUGUGGAGUUUCUUUAUUUGCAUGUAUUUAAAGAUUAUUAUAAUUUUCUCUUGACAAAGUGAUAAUUAAAAUAAUUUAAGGGAGAUUCACUAUUAUACCCAAUAUGGGGGCCCAAAUUAUAAAAAUACCCUAUAUAAAAUGGACUUUAGAAACACACCCAAAGCCCAUUUACAAUAUAACAAAAAAGCUUUUAACUUCUUAUAAAUUACAAAACUGCCAUCAAUUUCUUAAAACAAGCCCAACCCCAAAAUCUCAUAAAAAUACCCAAAGCACUCAAUAGGGCAUCAAAGUAAUUUAAUAAUCAAUAUUAAAUUCAAUAAGGCCAGCUAUCAUUUUUUGGGUUUGUUUAUAGGAAUUCAAUUGUGUAGGGUUUAUUUAUAAUAGUAGUGCUAGAAAUAGGUAUAUCACUAAAUAUCUCAUAAUUUAAAUGUACGAGAGGAGGAUCAAUAUCAAGUGUAUGAGAGUAGACACACUCUCUUAGUCAACUCACCUAACUCUCAACUCAUGUCUAUUUGAAGAUUAUUAGAUGGAAUGGAGUGAGUAUUGACCAUGUCAAGUCCAGCGCUAAUGAUACACCCCUGGAUGCAUCGGUUCAUAAAUACAACUAGAUCACCGCUAUUUAAGAUUUAACAAACAGAAAAAAAAGGCAGGGCCAAUGGGGCCCAUCCCAUUUCAAGAAAUGGCGCUGAGGCUGACUUAGAAGUUCCCUCUUGCUGUCGUUAAUUAGCGCUUUGUCAUCCCUGCUUCUACUCCAUGAGGGCUCUCCAGCAGCGGCAUCUCCCUCAAGCACUCCUUCGCUAAUGACACGUUAAACUAACGCACGUAAAUUUUGAGUUUCAUUGCGUCUGCUGUCUGGAGGAUGAUUACCUCGUUGCAUUCCAAACUUCUUUAUUGGCAGUGAUUACACAGGUUUGCUUUCACAAUUUUUUUCACAGUAUUCAUGGGUGGACAACGGUAAUUUUUCUUUCACAUUUUUUAAUGUGUUAUUUUCUAUUGGUUAAUUUUUAUUUUAUUUUACGGUUUUGCUCUGUUUUUUAGUUUUCUUUUGUUAUUUUUCGGCAUUUCUAGAGUUUUUUAUUUUAUUUUAUUUUUAUGUUUGUAUUUUUUUUAAAAAAAUUAUUUGAUAAUUUAAAUGGAAAUUGAAAUUCAGAUGACAUAAAAAAAUUUUUGGCAAGAUUUAUACAGCAAGGGUUUUUUUUUUUUUUUUUUUCCUCACAAUAGAGCUUGUCACCAGGCUACGCAACCAGUCUCAUUGCAAUUUCCCUUUAGAACGUUAUAAUGACACAUCUUAUAGCAGGUUGGUUGGUGCUUCAAUUACUUGAAUGCAAUGGGAGAUGAGAUUUGAUAGGGGAAAUUUGCCACGCAUAGAAACUUUUUGUUUGAUGGCCUAAAUAAAAUAACCAAAAUCAAUUCAGAUGAGAUAUGUUAGCAAUCCUUUUGUUUAGUAUAAUUAGUUCCCUUUUUCCAUACUACUACUCGAACACAUCAUAACCUGAACUAAAAUCCUCAUUGACAACAGAAUCAGCAUCUUUCAUUAGCUCAGUUAAUCCAUCCAACAGAAGGUAAAUGUCAUUUCUCAGCUCAUUUGUUGUGUCCCCCACCAAAAACUGGGAGAAUCCACCGCCCACAUCAACCCAAGCACAGCCAGGAGCCUUCCUCACACCCAAGUCCCUCAUGAAAGUCCUCACUCUCGCUAGCUUGUUCCAACAACCAGCAGCAGCAUACAUGCAAUUAACACGUAGUAACCAGAAUUUUCAGGUCUUAUUUCCAACAGCUUCUCUGCUGCCCAUUCCCCUAUAUCUAUAUUUCCAUGGAUCCGACAAUCUCCAAGAAGAGUAGCCCAAAUUGCAGAAGUUGGCCUGUAAGGCAUCCUUGUGAUAAUCUCCUCUGCUUUAUUUAAUAGACCAGCCCUCCCGUAAAGAUCAACCAUGCAAACAUAGUGCUCCAAACGGGGAGUUAUACCGUAUAUGUGGGAGCAAAUUUUCCCACGAGAAUAUUCGAUUGCAAAGAUUCUUCUUCCUUCGCCGUCACUUUCUCCCUGCAAAAUAGAAUAAAUAAGAGGACCACACUCGGGGGGUGUUGGCCAAAGGCCCUUCGAUGCCUAAAUUAGUUCAAGAGUUUAAAAGAAAAACAGUAGCUAACUAGGGUACGGAGAUGUGUUUAAGGUGUAAACCGAGCGGCCGGAGCCUUAUGUAAAAGAGAGGGAGAGAGGAGGUGGCUAGGGUUUGAGAGAAAUUUUCUGUAGAGUUUCAAUAGUAAUUCUGACGUACCUCAACCCUUGUGUGUGGCCAUCUUUUUAUAGUGGUCUUGGAGGCUAGGGUUUCAGAGGAAUAAUUCCGUAGAUGGAAGAGAAUUAUUCCUCCCCUAUAUGGAAUUGAUUUGAUUUAUUAGGGAUUUGAUUUAUUAUGGUAAAUCAAAUCCCUAAUUGUGGCAGGUAUCAAAUCAAAUCCUAAUUUAAUUAGGUAACUCCUAAUUUAAUUGGGAAUUGUGGUAUGAAUCAAAUCAAUUCUCAACCUAAUUAGGUAACGUUCCAUUUAAUUGGGUAAUCCCCAAUUAAAUUGAGUAACUCCCAAGUAGGUUGAUUAAUUCUCAAUUAGGUCAAAUAAUCCCAAAAUGGAAGGAAUUAUUUGACCAAGGGUCUAAUUUAAUUCGGUCCCCAGAAAUGCCCUCUAGCUUCUGCAUGGUGCGUGGUGGCAUGUAGGAGAUGUAAAUUAUCCGUUGGGCUGUCUAGCUGUAACUGGGCUUCCUUCAGUGAGUUGGACUCCUUUUGCAGAUUGGGUUCCCAAUUAGAGUGAGCUUUCGACUGUUUUUGGAGUUAGGUUCUCAGUAGGAAUGGGCUUGCGAUUCCUUCUUGACCUAGGAUGCCCAACCUGUGUAAAUGCGGGGCUUCUCUUCACUCUUCUUCACAUCGCAAACUUAACUUCUCUACUUUCUAGCUUAAGACAGAUAUUGGAGAAUUCGUACUGCUUGUCGAAGAAAGGAGUCACCGUGCAUCCCAAGGUAAGUCGAGCACGUAUGUUUCUUUUUCUUCGUCUUUUCUUCUUUUUUGUGGCGAAGGCCAGCUAGGGGAAGCUUGGCUGGUUGUCGUCGUGGCAAUGGCUGGCACUGAGCAGCACCCGUGAUGGAGCAGGUGUGCGCAGGUGGACUAGCUGCUCCCUAUCGUCACAGGUCUAGGCUGGAGUGUGCUUGGCCUCAUGCGUUGCGAGCCGCAUCAGUUGAGCGGGUAUUGGGAGGAAGUCGGUGGUCUGCCCCCUGCCCAGGAUGUUGAGAGAUAGACGCAAAAUAGUCUAGACUCUGAUGAUCUGUCAGUUGGGCAGGAGAAGUGUUCUGUCGGUAUUCCUCAUAAAUAAAAAAAAGGUUGUCGCCAAGUCCUCAAGAGAUGAAGCUACUUCUUCGUAGGCGAAGAAUGUGUCUCCAUUGAGGAAGAAUCCAAAGCUCCCUUAUGCUGGGAAGACUCAAGUGAGGUAUGUUCCAUCGUCAUCUGCUGGGGUCAAACAUCUUGUUUGUGCUGAUAUCAGGAACGUUGGUGGUACGCACAGUGCUCGGGAUGUUCUACUCAAGCCUCAUGCUGACAAGUUUGAAAACAAUAAUCUGCUCCGUAGAAUAGCCCGUGCUCGAUCUAGCUCACCUGCUGAGAGGCAAAUAGAUGCAGAUAUUCUUCUUCGAAGUUCGGGUCGUCUGCCUUAGUCAAAGGAUGGAGACUGAACUAGAAGGUCUGCUCAUAAUCCAGCUGUUGAGUCACGGGCAGUCAAGUGUGGAGUUGACUUCAUUGGAGGUGAGGGUGGCGGUAGCUAAGGAGACGAGAGAGUCAUCUCCCAGGGCGAAAGGCUCUUCUGCAACGUCAGUGGCUGAUCCCAAGGUGGACAAGUCUAGCCCUGUAGGGGAUGCAAUUGUGUCUGAUCUACUCAAGAUGAACUUUCUGUCAAGUCCGUCUGCUUGUUUCAAGCUGGUUGAUCAUAUCCAUCAGGCUGGUGAUCUUGAGAUAGUCUCAAGUCUUCUAUUAGAAAAAUAAAGGGAAGCAACAUUUCAUCUGCUUCAAAAGGUAGUAGUUCUUGCUGUUGAAACUAUCUGAAACUCGUCUGCUGUUGCCCCCUCUUCUGUUGUUGACUUGGUUAGUCCAAGAGAUGCCUACUUCUGUCUUGAGCGCAAGAAUGCAAGAAUGCGUACAAGCUGGGCUACUUGGACUGCUAAAAUGGAAAUAAUCCCUUCUAUGCCAUUGAUGAUGGAGACAUCGAGAUGCUCUGUUUUGGCUUGCUUCCUAUGCAGAGUAAGCAUGUUAAUAUUGUGAGCAUGGAAGAAGCUGAAGAGCAGACGGUCGAAGAGGCGAUAGCUGAAGAGGAUGAAUUAUGCUACGAAGUCUGCUAAAGCCUGGGCUUUUAUUGCAGCUUUUGGCCGAUAGAGGAGGUCAUACUGGCUUAGCUCUAUAGCCCACUUCAUGAGUCGCUGAGAAGCGUCAGGGCUGUGGAUGAUUGAUCUUAAAGGAAAGUCGGUCAUAACGAUGACUCGAUGAGCUUGGUAGUAGGGUAAUUUCGGGUGGCGAGUCUCUGCAUCGAGGAAAGCUUUUGACAUUUAGAAUAUCGGAUGUUGGGCCCCUAGCUCUUCUCGGAUGAGAGCUGAACUGACAGCUGAGUUCGACACUGUCCAGGUACACGAACAAGUCCUCACCAGGGACUGGCUUUGAGAGCAGGAGAGGUGAAGUGAGAUAAGUCUUCAGAUUCUGGAAAGCUGCUUCGCACUUCUCGUCCCAUUUGUCUCUUUGUCCUUUCUUUAAAGCUUUGAAGAAUGGUUUGCACUUGUCGGUUGAUCUCGAGAGGAAUCGGUUGAGGGCCGCUGCUCUGCCCGUCAGACUCUGUAUCUCCUUCACCUUGGAGGGCAACUUCAUCUCGAGAAUGGCUUUGAUUUGACGUGGGUGUGCCUCGAUACCUCGUUGUGUGACUAGGUAUCCCAAGAAUCGGCUAGAGGAUACACCAAACGUGCAUUUAAUCGGAUUCAACUUCAUGCAAUACUAGCGAAGCAGGCUGAAUACCUCGACAAGAUUUUUGAUGUGAUCUGCACGUUUUGGGGCUUUGACCAGCAUGUCAUCCACGUAGACUUCCAUAGUUUUGGGGUUUGUGUAAUCGACGCAGACUCUACAUUUGCCCUUUUCUUGUUUCACUACCAGAACAACGUUGGCAAGCCAUUCUGAGUAUGAGACCUAUUCGAUGAAGCCGGCAGCUAGGAGUUUGUUAAUCUCAGCUUUGAUAAUUGCGACGCGCUCGGGAGAAAAGUUGCGUCUUUUUUGCGCCACUGGCUUGCAAGCAAGGUUGAUGUAGAGUCGAUGACAGAUGAUGUUCAGGUUAAUGCCAGGCAUAUCUAAUGGCGACCAUGCGAACAUGUCUUUGUUGUUCUGGAGGAAGGUGGUCAGCUCCACCUUCUCUUCUAUCUGGCUAGUCAGGAUCCAAGGGUAUUAACUCAACGUCAUCUUCGGGUUUCCAUCCUUCUUCAGGAGAGACCUCGAGACAAAUUUCCUCGACUUAGUCUUGAAGCUUUGAUUUUUAUAAGGGAGCAAGAUUCGGUUGUUCAACCUCCUUCAGAUCUGCCUGGCUCACAGGGAGGAACUGCGCAUGUUUGCUUUUCUUCAGCCCUUGGGCGGAGCAUUUCCUUGCCAUUGAUUGAUUGCUAUUGAUUUGGCCGACACCGCCCCUAGGGAUUGGGUACCGAAUUUUCUGAUGUGUGGCGGAGGUGAUGGCGUUGAUCUUGCCGACCCAUGGUCUACCUAGAAUGCCGUUGUAUGGUGGACCUCAUUAAUGACCAUGAAUGUUUGCAAGCUGAUUAUAGGUGGGGAGUAGAUGUUGAGGUCUAUCGUGCCCAUGGUAACCGUUGUUGCACCAGUAAAGCCGGUCAGCGAUCUGGCUAAUUUGUUGAUCUUUGUCUGCAAGCUCAUCUGUUGGAUGACCGCCAGUUGUAAGAUAUUAGCUGCGCUGCCCUCUUCUAUGUGGAUUCGGUCGACCAUGGCCUGAGCGAUUUGAAUGCUGAUAACAAGGCGUCAUUAUAUGACAUGUCGAGGCCGAUCAUAUCUUUCUUUUAGAAGCCGAUCACAGGAUCGUCUUCUGCUGGUGGAAGGUCAGUCAAGAUUUGGGAGAUCACAGUGGCCUGUUUGAUGUUCUUCUUCUUUUCCUUGCUGGUCAGCCCAGACUCCUCAGAGUCGACUAGGAUUGUGUUAAUUCUUAUGACUUUCUUGGGCGGCUCCUUGGCGAUGUCACGAUCUUUAAUCCGCUGGAUGGCCUGCUUCGCAAUGAAUUCCGUGCAGUGACCUUCUCUCACAAGUUUUUCAAGAUGCAUUUUCCAAGCGAAGCAGUCAUUCGUAGUGUGCCCGUGCGUUCUAUGGAAGGCACAAUAUUUGCUAGUAUCCCUCUUUUCAGGCUUUCCUUUUAAAGGUGGUGGUCUUCUUACCCAAGGUUUAUGCUUCACUUGGGCUAAGAUUUGAUGUAUGGGGAUGGUGAACUUGGUGUAGUUCUCUCCUGCCGUAGCGUCCCUUUGUGGGUGCGACCUGUGCUUGUCCUUGUUCCUGUUGCUAAAUCCGUCGCUUCUUUGGCUUGCCCGCUUAGUCGGCUGAUCUUCCUACUUAGUAGACUUCUUUGCAGCAAUUCAAUCGUCAUCCCAGAGCGCAUAGCUUUCCGCGGUCACGUAAACCUCUGCCAAAGUCUAGUUAAGAGUGAUAGUCAGCUGGCGAUACAAGUCGUGCUCAGCCAGAAGUCCUUUCUUGAAAGCAGAGGACGCGAUUUGGUCGUCACAUCCUACAAUGUUGGCCUUUUCUGCUUUGAAUCUCUUGAUGUAAUCUCGAAGGGAUUCGUCGGACUUCUUGCGCAGGUUGUAUAGGUGGCAAGGGUUCUUGAUUGUCCGGUAAGAGGUGUAUUCUUUGGUAAAGACGUAAGUCAGCUCGUUGAAGCUGUUGAUCGACCCAAAUGGCAGAGUAUGGAACCAGUCUUGGGCGGCUCCUUACAAGGUCAUCGCCAACACCUUGCACAUCAGUGCGUUGUCGGUUUUGUGGAGGAUCAUGACACUUUUGAAGUGUUUUAGGUGGCUCUUGGGAUCGGAAUCCCCCUUGAAGUGUGUGAAUGUGGGAUUUAAAAAUCGCUUCGGGGGAGCAGCCUACUCGAUUUCGGCAAUGAAAUGCGUAGAGUUUGCCUAGUCUAUCUCCUUACGUAGUGCAUCUUCGAAAUUUACUUUGGUCUUCAAGUCUCAAAGUCGGUCACUCACAAGCUUCUCAACGUCUUCCGCACACAUUGCUGGUCAGCCACGUUGGCGACCUUUACAAUUUGGGUGAUGCUGACUAACUUCCUCGUUGAUUUCCAAGGGUCGACCUUCUCGCCUGCUCUGCCUAGGCAGCGUGUUGGUGGACUGCGCUUGCGAAGGAUUUUCUGUAGCUUGUCGACGAGAAUCGAUUCUUCGAGAGUGAGCAGCAGAGCGCCUUUUCUCAUGGUCCACAUUGUGAAGGUUAUCCAGUUGAUCUCCCUAGGGGCCUAGCCUUUGAUUUACAUUUCCCUGCCGGCCCAGGAGGGCGCGGAUGUCAAGUCGUGGGCCCAGCCUUUCUCGCACGUUGUUCCUUAAACUCAAUAUGCUCUGUGUGUGGCUCGUAAAUGCUUGCGACAUGUCGGCAGGCCAAUCACGUUGUUGUCCCUCACUUUGUCUGCUUACUCCUGCUCGACUUGCUUGGUACCCAUCGAGCUGCCUAUCGGCGCGUUCGGCCAAGGUUUUGAGCCAAGCUUAUUUGGUUGAGGAGCUGCCUCAUUAGAUUGCUUUAGUCGUCCAUUCUCUGAGCUAGCUGGUCAACUCUUAGAUUAAGGUAUUCUUGACUUCGUGGAUCGGGAUGAGAGAAGUGUGUGGAGCCCAAUUGGCUAAGGUUUCAUCGGAGGUGUACGCGGGAGCGUGCGUUGAGCAUGGAGGCAAUGGAGGGAAUGCUUGAAGUUGCUCCAAGAUUGGGCCUAAGUCGGUAGUGGUAAUGAGCCCACCUUGAUUAGAGGUUCCACCAUGUUCGACGGCGGUGGCCGGUAUGGUGGUCUCAACUGCAAGUCCGGUAAGUGGCACGGUGGUGAGAGGUGGUGUCAUGUCGAUCGCGGGAUCGUGGGUGGAGUGGCUUUGGGCCGUCGCAGAUUUAGCCAUUGCGUCGGUUUUGCCUCUCGUCUUCUUGCUUCCAACCGUGGUUGUCUGGAAGGCUUCGGUGGAUUGGAAAAUAAGUUUGGAGCACGCUUUGAGUAUAUCUCGUGCUCUCGGAGCAAAUUUCCCCACAAGAAUAUUCGAUUACAAAGAUUCCUCUUCCUUCUUCGCCGCCUCUUUCUCCAUGCAAAAUAGAAUAAAUAAGAGGAUCACACCCGAUGAGGUGUUGGCCAAAGGCCCUUCGAUGCCUAAAUUAGUUCAAGAGUUUGUAAGAAAAACACUAGCUAACUAAGGUACGAAGAUGUGUUUAAGGUGUAAACCGGGUGGCCGGAGCCUUAUGUAAAAGAGAGGGAGAAAGGAGGUGGCUAGGGUUUGAGAGGAAUUUUCUGUAGAGUUUCAAUAGUAAUUCUGACGUACCUCAACCCUUGUGUGUGGCCAUCUUUUUAUAGUGGUCUUGGAGGCUAGAGUUUCAGAGGAAUAAUUCCGUAGAUGGAAGGAAUUAUUCCUCCCCUAUUUGGAAUUGAUUUGAUUAAUUAGGGAUUUGAUUUAUUAUGGUAAAUCAAAUCCUUAAUUGUGGUAGGUAUCAAAUUAAAUCCUAAUUUAAUUGGGAAUUGUGGUAGGAAUCAAAUCAAUUCUCAACCUAAUUAGGUAACGUUCCAUUUAAUAGAGUAAUCCCCAAUUAAAUUGAGUAGAGACGUUAAGUUUGCGAUGUGAAGAAAAGUGAAGAGAAGCCCUGCAUUUACACAGGUUGGGCAUCUUAGGUCAAAAAGGAAUCGCAAGCUCAUUCCUACUAAGAACCCAACUCCAAGAACAGUCAAAAGCUAACUCCAAUUGGGAACCUAAUCUGCAAAAAGAGUCCAACUCACUCAAGGAAGCCUAGUUACAGCUUGACAGCCCAACAGAUAAUUCACAUCUCCUACAUGCCACCACGCGCCAUGCAGAAUCUGGGAGGCAUUUGUGGGAACCGAAUUAAAUCAGACCCUAGGUCAAAUAAUUCCUUCCAUUUGAGGAUUAUUUGACCUAAUUGGGAAUUAAUCAACCUAAUUGGGAGUUACUCAAUUUAAUUGGGGAUUGCCCAAUUAAAUGGAACGUUACCUAAUUAGGUUGAGAAUUGAUUUGAUUCCUACCACAAUUCCCAAUUAAAUGAGGAGUUACCUAAUUAAAUUACCACAAUUAGGGAUUUGAUUUACCCUAAUAAAUCAAAUCCCUAAUUAAUCAAAUCAAUUCCAAAUAGGGGAGGAAUAAUUCCCUUCCAUCUACAGAAUUAUUCCUCUGAAACCCUAGCCUCCAAGACCACUAUAAAAGGAUAGCCACACACAAGGGUUGAGGUACGUCUAAAAUUCCUACUGAAACUCUGCAGAAAAUUUCUCUCAAACCCUAGCCACCUCCUCUCUCUCUCUCUCUCUCUCUCUCUCUCUCUCUCUCUCUCUCUCUCUCUCUCUCUCUCUCUCACAUAAAGCUCCGACCGCCCGGUUUACACCUAAAACACAUCUCCGUACCCUAGAUAGCUAGUGUUCUUCUUACAAACUCUUGAACUAAUUUAGGCAUCGGAGGGCCUUUGGCCAACACCCCCGGGUGUGGUCCUCUUAUUUGUUUUAUUUUGCAGGGAGAAAGAGACGGCAAGGAAGAAAGGGGAAUCUUUCUAAUCGAAUAUUCUCGUGGGGAAAUUUGCUUCACAUACUCCAUAUCCUGCAAUCAUUGAAGUAUAAGUUAAUUCAUCUCGCUUAGACAUUGAAUCAAAUACUCAUUUAGCUUCUAAAAUUUUGCCUGAUCUGGCAUACAUGUCCACAAGAGCAUUCCACAGAAGUAAAUAAUCAUCAAACACUACACGUUUUAUUAUGUAGCAGUGGAACUCCGUGUUGAAGAUUCGCUACCCAAGCACAGAGGGGAAGGAUGCUGGCAAUUGUAAUGUAAUUAGAUUCAAUUCCAGAACACAACAUCUCCCUAAAUAAGACUUCUGAGUUCGAAACCUCCAAUCCCUCCAACUCACUUAUGUAGUGAUGUGCAAGGUGCAAGGUAAGGCUGCACCUAUAUGCUUCUCCCAGACUCUGUUUUCCUGCCUCUCCAUGUGCAGGAAAUGCGGCUGCAAGUGAGAGAGGGCAUUAACUUCAUAUACAUUGUUUGCUUAUUCCCUAAUAGCUUAAGCUUUUGGGAUUUAGUGGUUGCCUUACAAUUAUAUGAGAUUGAGUAUCUAAUUUCUUACAGGGAAAGCAUUAAAGGGCCAGUCACAAAAAGUUCAACAAGCUGUUUUGGAGGUAACUAUGUUGUUUUCAUUUCUUUUCGCAGCACCUUUCAUUGGCUUAUUUAGAUUUCCCGUAGAAAUUUCGUACUGGUGGAUACAAUGUCAUUGUUGCCACAUCAAUUGGCGAAGAGGGCCUGGAUAUCAUGGAAGUUGAUCUAGUUAUAUGCUUUGAUGCUAAUGUAUCACCAUUGAGAAGAUUCAGCGCAUGGGGAGAACUGGAAGGAAGCAUGAUGGAAGAGUUGAUAUCCUUUUCUCAUAUGAGUACUGCAUGUUCUGUAGUUGGCUGUUGGUGAGAUCAGACUGAACAUGCAAUGAACUUUUGCUUGUCCCCCUCUUUUAUCCAAGUUUUAGUGUCAAUCCACUUUCCAUUUUUUUUUCAUUACACUUUCUUUCAACCACCUUUCAUUGCAUUUGCAAUAAAUCUAAAUCCUUGACAAGUCGUACUAGUUUUAGCCUGUGAAGGGUCAGAGUUGAAGGGUUACAAGCGUAAGCAAGGAAACAGUAAGAAUAUGAUGAAACACUUGCGAAAUGGGGGGAGAAAUAGCUUCAAUUUCCAUUCUAGUCCGAGGAUGGUGAGAUUUUCUAAGAAAGGCUGCAUCUUUAUGAUUUUUAAAUGCUAUAGUCUUGCAUUUUAAACGUAUUUGAUUGUGUCAUUAUUUAUUGCAGAUCCCUCACAUUUUCAAACCGGAGGUCCAGUUUGUUGAGUUUUCAUUGGAACAAUUCGUUCAUCGUGGAAAGAAAGGAUAGAUGACACACUAUUCAGACACCCGUUAUUCCAGACAAUUUAACUGUUGCUGAGACUACAUUAAUUGCCAAGUAUUUUUACCCCCAUGAAAUUACAUGGAAACCAUCUGUUAUUGCCUUUCCUCACUUCCAAACAUAUCCUUCAAGAGUGUAUAAAGUAAUGCAUUCACAUCGGACGACAAUGUUAAUUGAUAUGAUGCAAUGUUUGCAAGGACUAACCUUUUCUAGGGACAGCAAUAUUUCCCUUCUUGAGGUUUGAUUCAAUCUAUGUGGUUGAGUUGUUUGCCUUGCUGUGUUGUAUGACAUUUUCUUAUGUUAUUACUCAAUGCUUUCAGGGUGAAAUAUGUUUAAAGAAGUGCUUGGGAGUUGACACUGCUGAACAACAUGACAACAAUGGAGAAGGUAGCUCAAAAAGGCUUUUAUGAGAAGAAAAUUUGUCAUUCCAAAUUCUUCCAUUUGUUUUAAGGCAUUAUUCAGAUUAUGUGGAAAUAAUUACUAAGGAAAAAGAUUCUUCGCUACUAGGAUUAGUUUCAUCGUGUUGAUUGGAGAUCUGAGGUGCAUUUACUUGUUUACUCUUGCUUUCAAGUCCCGCAUCAAACUUAUGCACAUUUGCAUGCUAAUCAAUUUGAGCUUAGCGAAUGUAGUUUAUUGUUCCUUCACUUUUUUUCAAGGUCCAUUUGAGACAAGUGAGCAUUUUGCUUCAUUGCUAAUAAUUCUUCUACAAAUAGUUCAGAAGUCCAUUAUGCUCAAGAUCACCAACUCAAUGUUCAUUUUGUGUUUAUAAUAUAAACUUUAUAUUACCUUUUUGGUUAUAAUUUUAGUAUUUCAUCUUCAACUUUACCAAAUGUUCAACGCCAUAUGCUUUCAUUGUAUCCUUUUGAGUCCUCUUAUUCUUUACUUUGUAGCCAGAAAUUUUCGCACUUUUUGCUCCUCUGUAUAUGUGCAUGCCUGUUAAACUUUAUUCGGAAACUAAUUUCUUUUAACCUUUUUCUUGCUUGAUGAUUGAAAUAAAACCUUUUCUCUUCUGUAUACUUUUCUUCAUCUUCCGACAAUAAAAGUAGUACUACGUCUAUGAGGUUGGUUAUCUUUUCUUGGGGUUAACUAACUCAAGGAAUGAACUGAAACCAUAAAAAAUGUUCAUACUCAACAACAUUUUUGUACUGUAAAUUGGUAUGUGUAAGCAUGCAUGUGUUUAUGUUCCUAAUCUCAAGUCCUGAUGCUGCACCUGCAUUGGGGGAUGGGGAGUGGGGGUAAUUGAACAUAAAUUGUAGGACGAUUUUUUCUUGCUCGGUUUUGUGAACGUAAAAUAUUAUGGCCUAGUCAGCAUGUUAAAUAAUAACAAGCACUUGUCUUUUCUUUUCUGGAUUGGGUGGCUGGGGGGGGAUUGAAUGUGGAGAAGAUGCUAAAUCUUGAACAUUUUGUUGCAGAUUUUCUGAAUCCUGACGAUUCUGAAGUAUCACCUACUGGGACAUUGGAAACUGAGGAGAAGCAUAACGAACUUAAUUUCCCUGGUGAAAAUCCUUAUGAGCACUCUUAACUCUUUGGUUCAGAUGUUGUAACUGUUGAUGCUUCUGGAAAUGUCCUAGUCAUUGUUGUCCCUGUGUUUCCUUGGAAAGACUUAUCGCAUUCCAUGUCAACAAGUGCAAGCAUUAUUAAGUUGGAUUACUUGAAGCAAAAUUCUUGCCAUGCAAGGACUUCAGAUGAAGACCACACAGAACUAACUACUGAAGCUGGUCCAAGUGGAGAUCUGAAAUCGACUCCGAUAACAUGCAUGAAGAAUGAGGUUUCAUUUAAGUCUCGAUGUUGUGUUCUGGACAGCAAGGCAUCAUUAUUUCUGGCUGAUGAAGACAAUAAUUUUUUCAGAGAUGGUGAGCUCAGUCCACGGCUUACUAAUUUAAUCAGAAGUGGAGUAGUCCCAGAGUCUCCUAUCCAGAAUAGUGGUUAGUAAUGCAAUUAGUAAGAUUUUAUCUUAAUUCAAAAUGUGAUAUGGUUUCCUAGGGAUUGCUUUUGUCCCCUAAUAUAAGAUGAUGCUUAUAUAAAUGUGAAUUAUGCAGGACUAUCAAAUAACACAGAUGAGUAUCUAGAACCUGAACCUGUUUCACCUGCCCAAUUACAUACUGGAAUACUAUUGAAGUGUUCAAGUCCUGGGAAAAGUAAAAAAGUCAAUAUGAGAGGCAAUGCCUGUGGAAGAAAUGUCUCUGUUUCUCCUGUUGAUAAUGAAAUUCAAACUCCCUUGCAUAACAAGGGUGAAACUGCAAGCAUAAGAGGAUGUACCUCCACAUCACCAAUUAUUGAUAGAGCCCAAACUGUUUUAGCAGAUCUUACAAACAAUAGCUGUGGCAAAGAUUGGCAUUUAAGUUCUGGAGACAAGUCGGAAAGUGUAAAACAGGCACGCAAGUUUAAAAGGUUACGCAAAGUUGGGGAUCAUUGGAAAAGUAGGGGAGAAAGCAUGACAAAAAAUGUUGGGUCAACGGAAAACCCUGUGGCAGAUCUUUUUCUAGAGCUGGUCCUCUCCGUACUAAGCACGACAAAGGUAUUAUGAAUAUGAAUUGAGUCUAUUGAAAUGAAUCUAGACCAGAUGUUUGUCCUUUCCAGUAUUUUUAUUUUAUUAUUAUUUUUUUGAAAAGGUCAUUUCCAGUAUCGUUUAUUUAUUUGCUAUUUAUUUUUCUAUUUUUGGAGUUCUGAUACUAACUAACUAGACUAGAGCCUUCUCUCUAUGACUAAAAGUCCAAUCACACCAAAGACUUAUAGGAAUGCUACCUGUUCAGCUUCCAAUCUUUUUAUGGGACCUAUUUACCGAUAUGUUUAUUUUUUUGGUUACAUUAUAAAUAGGUAAAAAGAAGUCAGUUGAUGAUGUAAGGGUCUUCAUUGAGGAGGAAGCCGAGUAAGUUCAUAUAUUUAUGACAUGUAGCUAAGUUAUUUGUGUUGAUGAUUGGCUCAAAAAAUUAGUCAAAAGCAAAACUGCUUUCGGCUGGCAGACAUCUUGCGGUGCUUUCGGCUAGCAGACAAAUUGGAGACAAAUUAAUGGCUAGCAUUGAUGGCUUACUUUUACCUUUUGACUUGUGUGUUUUGCUUUUGCCGUUGGGUGGUUGAAGAGCAAAUGUUUGGCUUAUAAAAGGGAACAUGCAUUUGGGAAAAAUAGAGAGCGGAAAGCACCGAGAGUUGAUGAGAGAAGAGAGAAGUUGGGAGAGAGAAAAAUAAUAGUUUGGGCAACUAAGCUUUUGUUGCUAUUGUUGGUUAUUUUUCCCUCUCUAAAUUGUACUCAAUUUGUAUCCCCUUUAUAUUCUUGAGUGUGUGAGCUUGGGUAUAUUUGGGGCUUGGGUUUUCUGAGUGGUUAAACACUAUUGUAUUCUCUCAUUGAUUAUAGUGGAAUACUCCGUCGUCUCCAAACUGGAUGUAGGCAAUUGCCAAACCAGUAUAAAUCUUGGUGUUGUUCUUGUUGAUUAUUUUUGUUCUAUUUUUCUCCUGCCUGUUGUUAUUUUUCACUCGCAGUUGGUUGACGCUUCCGCACAACAAGUGGUAUCAGAGCUCCAGUUUUUCGACUGGGGUUUCGUGGGAGUGAAAAAUCUGUCGGUGCUACAGUGACGGGUGAAUAGUGUCGGUGCUACAGUGCCCCCGUGAAUAGUGCUGUGCUACAGUAGCAGUGAAUAGUGCAGGGCAGAUUUGAUGGCUGGAGAAAAAGUUGAAAUUUUGAAGGAAAAGGAAUCGACAUCGUCUUCGUCGGCACCUACAUCCAAUAGACAUCCAAUUGCCAGUACAAGGUUAGAGGUUGAUAAAUUUAAUGGCUCCAAUAAUUUUGGUAUGUGGCAAUGUGAAGUUAUGGAUGUGUUGUAUCAACAAGAGUUGGAUAUGGUUCUGGAGGAUAAACCAGAAGAUAUUGAUGACAAGCAGUGGACUCAAAUUAAUCUCCAUGCUUGUGCCACUAUUCGAUCGUUCCUUGAUAAGGAGUUGAAAUACCCGUAUAUGAAGGAAACUUCUGCUAAGAAGUUAUGGAUGAAAUUGGAGGAGAAGUAUAUGACCAAGAGCACAGAAAAUCGGCUCUUCUUGAAGAAACGACUCUUCCGAUUUCAAUAUCGCUCAGGUAUUUCUAUGCAUGAACACCUCAAUGAUUAUAAUAAAAUACUUGCUGAUUUAGCAAAUCUUGAUGUGAUAAUUCCUGACGAGGAUAAGGCACUAUGUUUGUUAAAUUCAUUGCCUGAUGAUUAUGAUCAUUUGACAACUACUUUGUUGUAUGGAAAAUCCGAGGUGAAACUGGAUGAGGUGUCUGCGGCAUUGGUGAAUCAUGAGUGUCGAAAGAAGGAACAGAAGACUCAAAAUUCACAAACCGAGGCACUUGUUGCAAGGGGUCGAACAGAGGAAAGAAAAUUUGGGAAGCGGGGAAAAUCUCGUUCAAAGUCACGAGGGAAGUUUCUUGCUAAAGAUGAAUGUGCCUUUUGUCGCCAAAAGGGUCAUUGGAAGAAAGACUGCCCCAAAUUGAAGAACAAGGAGAAGGAGAAAGCGGGUUCUGAAGCAAAUGUUGCAAAAUCUGGAGAUGAAGAUUUCGAGUUUGCUUUGGCUAGUUCAUCUGCUGAUGGUCACUCAACUGAGUGGAUUUUGGAUUCAGGUUGCACCUAUCAUAUGUGUCCUAUUCGGGAAUGGUUUUCUAGCUUCGAGGAGCUGGAUGGUGGAGUUGUUUUGAUGGGCAAUAAUAAUGCCUGCAAAACACAAGGGAUAGGCAAAAUCUGUUUGAAGAUGCAUGAUGGAACAGUCAGAGAAUUGAGUGAUGUUCGGUAUGUUCCGGAUAUGAAGAAGAAUCUCAUCUCAUUGGGCGCUUUGGAAUCCAAGGGUCUCAAGAUCACCAUGAAGGGUGGAGUUCUUAAAGCUGUGCAUGGGGCACUGGUGGUGAUGAAAGGUACAAGAUGAAAUAACUUGUAUUUCUUGCAGGGUAGUACAGUUAUUGGUGGAGCAGCUGUCACCGAAGCUGCUGACGCAGAUAGCACAGACACCACAAGGUUAUGGCAUAUGCGUCUUGGGCAUGCUGGUGAAAAAGCGUUGCAAGGAUUGGUGAAGCAAGGCUUAUUGAAAGGUGCAAAGGCAUGCAAAUUGGAAUUCUGUGAACACUGUGUGCUGGGUAAGCAAACUAGAGUGAAAUUUGGCACUGCUAUUCACCACACUAAAGGCAUUCUAGAUUAUGUUCACACUGAUGUUUGGGGACCCUCCAAUAAUGCAUCUUGGGGAGGUAGCCAUUAUUUUGUCUCCUUUGUUGAUGACUUCUCUAGAAGAAUAUGGGUGUACACCAUGAAGCGUAAAGAUGAAGUCUUGAGGAUAUUCCUGAAGUGGAAAAAGAUGAUUGAAACGCAAAGCGGUCGAAAGAUCAAGACUCUCAGAUCAGACAAUGGUGGUGAAUAUAAGUCUGAUCCCUUCUUGAAAGUUUGUCAAGAUGAGGGUAUUGUGAGGCACUUCACGGUUAGGGAGACACCGCAACAGAAUGGGGUGGCAGAGCGCAUGAACCGUACUUUGCUUGAGAAAGUUCGGUGUAUGUUGUCUAAUUCUGGUUUAGGCAAGGCGUUUUGGGCUGAGGCGAUUACUUAUGCAAGCCAUCUCAUUAAUCGGUUGCCUGCUGCUGCGAAUGAGGGCAAAACGCCCAUGGAGGUAUGGUCUGGUAAACCUUGUACUGAUUACAAGUAUUUACACAUAUUUGGUUGUCCUGCUUACUAUCAUGUCAGGGAAAGCAAGUUAGAUCCAAGAGCAAAGAAGGCUCUAUUUAUGGGAUUUAGCACUGGCGUGAAGGGAUACCGACUCUGGUGUCCAGAUGAGAAGAAAAUUGUUGUAAGCAGAGAUGUGACUUUUGAUGAGGCUGCUAUGGUAAAUCAGAACAAGCAUGAAGGUGAAAUAGAAGCAACCAAGACCAUGAGUAGUUCAAAGCAGGUGGAGUUACUGAAGACUCCAGUUGUUCCAGUAAGGUCUGAUACUACAGACACUAGUCCUACAGUUGAUUCUGAUGAAGAGGACGAGGAUGAUGAAGAGGAGGCACCUACCCAAGAGCCUCCACAGCAACAAGAUUCUAUUGCAAUCAGAAGAUCGAGAAGGGAGAUUCGAAAGCCUGUUCGAUUUACUGAUAUUGUGGCAUAUGCACUUCCCGUUAUUGAAGAUGAUAUUCCAUCCGCCUACAAAGAAGCUGUCAGAAGUUCAGAGAGCGUGGAGUGGAAGAAAUCUAUGGAUGAGGAGAUGAAGUCUCUUCAUAAAAAUGAGACUUGGGAGCUGGUUCAGUUACCAAAGGGGAAGAAAGCAAUUGGUUGCAAAUAGGUUUAUGCCAAGAAGAUGGAAUCUUUGGGAAAAGACAAUGUGAGAUUCAAAGCCAGAUUAGUAGCUAAAGGAUAUGCUCAGAAGGAAGGCAUUGACUACAAUGAGGUAUUUUCUCCUGUAGUAAAACAUUCCUCUAUUCGUAUUUUGUUGGCUUUGGUUGCGCAGUUUGACCUUGAGUUGGCUCAACUUGAUGUCAAGACUGCAUUCUUACAUGGUGAUUUGGAGGAAGAAAUUUAUAUGUCUCAGCCAGAAGGUUUUAAGGUUGCUGGAAAAGAAAAUUGGGUUUGCAAAUUGCAAAAAUCAUUGUACGGCUUGAAGCAGUCUCCAAGACAAUGGUAUAAGCGAUUUGAUCGGUUUAUGAUCGGGCAGAAGUACACAAGAAGUCAUUAUGACCAUUGUGUAUACUUUCGCAAGCUACAAGAUGGAACCUUCAUCUAUCUGCUUUUAUAUGUUGAUGAUAUGCUUAUAGCAUGUAAAAGCAAAGUGGAGAUUGAAAGGUUGAAGACUCAACUGAGUAAUGAAUUUGAGAUGAAGGACUUAGGAGAAGCUCGGAAGAUACUGGGUAUGGAAAUUGAAAGAGAUAGAGCGAAGGGCAAGAUUAGUCUGUGUCAAAAGCAGUAUUUGAAGAAGGUACUACAGCGUUUCGGGAUGAAUGAAAAUUCAAAACCGGUUAGUACACCUCUUGCCCCUCAUGUCAAACUUAGUGCUUCUAUGUCUCCUAAAACUGGUGAAGAGAGUCAUUACAUGGCUCAAAUUCCAUAUGCAAGUGCUGUUGGUAGUUUGAUGUAUGCUAUGGUGUGUACGAGGCCUGAUAUUUCACAAGCUGUUAGUAUUGUCAGUAGAUAUAUGCAUAAUCCAGGAAAAGAGCAUUGGCAAGCUGUGAAAUGGAUUCUACGGUAUAUUCUGGGUACUGUGGAUGUUGGUUUAUUGUUUCAGCAUGAUAAAGUUACUGGUCAAUGUGUUGUUGGAUAUGUGGAUUCUGAUUACGCAGGUGAUUUGGACAAGCGUAGGUCCACUACAGGUUUUGUAUUCACUAUUGCUGGAGGUCCAGUGAGUUGGAGGUCGAUUCUGCAAUCUACAGUUGCUCUGUCGACUACGGAGGCUGAAUACAUGGCGGUAACAGAAGCUAUAAAGGAAGCCAUCUGGCUUCAAGGAUUGCUUGAUGACUUGGGGAUUGAACAGGACCAUGUGGAUGUUCAUUGUGACAGUCAGAGUGCUAUUUAUUUAGCAAAGAAUCAAGUUCAUCAUGCACGUACAAAACACAUUGACGUGAGGUUCCAUUUUGUUCGUGAGAUUAUUGACGAGGGAAAUAUUCUUCUUCAGAAGAUUGGGACCGCUGAGAAUCCUGCGGAUAUGUUGACAAAGCCAGUUUCGUUGCUCAAGUUUAAGCAUUGCUUAGACUUAAUUGGCAUUUGUAAAGUUUGUUGAUUGCCCCAUGGGGGAUUGGGAGACGACCAUUGAGAGUGUUGCUUCGAGGUUUUGAGCCAAGGUGGAGAUUGUUGAUGAUUGGCUCAAAAAAUUAGUCAAAAGCAAAACUGCUUUCGGUUGGCAGACAUCUUGCGGUGCUUUCGGCUAGCAGACAAAUUGGAGACAAAUUAAUGGCUAGCAUUGAUGGCUUACUUUUACCUUUUGACUUGUGUGUUUUGCUUUUGCCGUUGGGUGGUUGAAGAGCAAAUGUUUGGCUUAUAAAAGGGAACAUGCA
rnacentral:lncRNA from 1 species